AAGACUGCUGCCUCAGCCCCCGUCCCCGUCCCCCGCCCUUUCCUCAGAAGAUGCAGAACCGGCUGACCUCUUACCGCACCCAGGGGCCCCAGACGGGAUGCCUGCGGGAGGCUAUUGUAUUCAUUACCAAGAAGGGGAAAGAGCUGUGCAUCUCCCCAGAUGCGGAUUGGGCUCCAGAACUCAUGAGGAAAAUAGACGCGAGGAACAGGAGUGCAAGAGCAAACCGCCAGGGUGCCUGAGGACUGCUAGUGUAAGAUCCCAGCCAUGGCGACUGACCGAAUGGAUGUCCCAAGAAAUCCCACUACCACGAAUGGGAUGACAGACUGCCCUCCUCCUCAUGUAUCACCUUUCCUGCUUUCACCUGCCUGCCUGGGGCGAGAGAGACCUCUCCAGCCCUUUCUCCGGAUCACCCGUGCACAUGUCCAUCCAGCCCAGAGUUUAAGCCUCCUUUUUUAUCCCUUAGACUUGAAAUGUCGGUGUGUUCAUUCCCAGAUUAGAACCCCCUGAGCGGGUCAGGAUCCAGGCACUCAGCCUCCCGUCCCCAGCCUGUGGAGGGAACCUUUGAGCCUCCGGGAUCUCGUACCCAGAAAAGGCCUUAAUUUAGGUCCCAGAACCAAUGUUCCCUCUAAGCUGUGGAGUCUUGUGAGCAAAAAUUCUACUUUGUGAGCUA